rnacentral:rRNA from 1 species
GACGAACGCUGGCGGCGUGCUUAACACAUGCAAGUCGAGCGGUAAGGCCCUUUCGGGGGUACACGAGCGGCGAACGGGUGAGUAACACGUGGGUGACCUGCCCUCAGCUCUGGGAUAAGCCUGGGAAACCGGGUCUAAUACUGGAUAUGACUCCAUGACGCAUGUUGUGGGGUGGAAAGCCUUGUGCGGCUGAGGAUGGGCCCGCGGCCUAUCAGCUUGUUGGUGGGGNGAUGGCCUACCAAGGCGACGACGGGUAGCCGGCCUGAGAGGGCGACCGGCCACACUGGGACUGAGACACGGCCCAGACUCCUACGGGAGGCAGCAGUGGGGAAUUUUUGUCAA